rnacentral:rRNA from 1 species
CGUAGGGUCCGAGCGUUGUCCGGAUUUAUUGGGCGUAAAGAGCUCGUAGGUGGCUUCGUAAGUCGGGUGUGAAACCCCAGGCUCAACCUGGGACGGCCACUCGAUACUGCGGUGGCUUGAGUCUGGUAGGGGAGUCACGGAAUUCCUGGUGUAGCGGUGAAAUGCGCAGAUAUCAGGAGGAACACCAGUGGCGAAGGCGGUGAUCUGGGCCAGUACUGACACUGAGGAGCGAAAGCGUGGGGAGCGAACAGGAUU